UUGAUCAUGGCUCAGGAUGAACGCUAGCGACAGGCUUAACACAUGCAAGUCGAGGGGCAGCGGGGGCGUAGCAAUAUGCCUGCCGGCGACCGGCGCACGGGUGAGUAACACGUAUGUAACCUGCCCUAUGCAGGGGGAUAACCCGGAGAAAUCCGGCCUAAUACCGCGUAACACCUUUUGGGAGCAUUUCUGGGAGGUUAAAGGAGAGAUCCGGCAUAGGAUGGACAUGCGUCGCAUUAGGUAGACGGCGGGGUAACGGCCCACCGUGCCGACGAUGCGUAGGGGUUCUGAGAGGAAGGCCCCCCACACUGGUACUGAGACACGGACCAGACUCCUACGGGAGGCAGCAGUGAGGAAUAUUGGUCAAUGGCCGAGAGGCUGAACCAGCCAAGUCGCGUGAGGGAAGAAUGUCCUAAGGAUUGUAAACCUCUUUUGUCGGGGAGCAAAAAGGCUCUGCGGAGUCGUAUUGAGAGUACCCGAAGAAAAAGCAUCGGCUAACUCCGUGCCAGCAGCCGCGGUAAUACGGAGGAUGCGAGCGUUAUCCGGAUUUAUUGGGUUUAAAGGGUGCGCAGGCGGCGUGUCAAGCAANGCGGUAAAAAUAGCGGGGCUCAACCCCCGUCGAGCCGUUUGAACUGGCGCGCUUGAGUUCAGGCGAGGUAGGCGGAAUUCGUGGUGUAGCGGUGAAAUGCAUAGAUAUCACGAAGAACUCCGAUUGCGAAGGCAGCUUACCAGUCUGCGACUGACGCUCAGGCACGAAAGUGUGGGUAUCGAACAGGAUUAGAUACCCUGGUAGUCCACACAGUAAACGAUGAGCGCUAGGUGUCCGGGUCGCAUGAGACUUGGGAGCCCGAGCGAAAGCGUUAAGCGCUCCACCUGGGGAGUACGCCGGCAACGGUGAAACUCAAAGGAAUUGACGGGGGCCCGCACAAGCGGAGGAACAUGUGGUUUAAUUCGAUGAUACGCGAGGAACCUUACCCGGGCUCAAACGACUCAGGAAUAUAUUGGAAACGAUGUAGCCAGCAAUGGUCUGAGUCGAGGUGCUGCAUGGUUGUCGUCAGCUCGUGCCGUGAGGUGUCGGCUUAAGUGCCAUAACGAGCGCAACCCCUACCGCCAGUUGCCAACGGGUAAAGCCGGGAACUCUGGCGGGACUGCCGGCGCAAGCUGCGAGGAAGGCGGGGAUGACGUCAAAUCAGCACGGCCCUUACGUCCGGGGCGACACACGUGUUACAAUGGCAGGUACAGCGGGAAGCCACCUGGUGACAGGGAGCGGAACCCGAAAGCCUGUCUCAGUUCGGAUUGGAGUCUGCAACUCGACUCCAUGAAGCUGGAUUCGCUAGUAAUCGCGCAUCAGCCAUGGCGCGGUGAAUACGUUCCCGGGCCUUGUACACACCGCCCGUCAAGCCAUGGGAGCCGGGGGUGCCUGAAGUACGUGACCGCGAGGAGCGUCNUAGGGCAAAACUGGUGACUGGGGCUAAGUCGUAA
rnacentral:rRNA from 1 species